UAAGGAAUAUUGGUCAAUGGGCGCAAGCCUGAACCAGCCAUGCCGCGUGCAGGAUGAAGGUCCUACGGAUUGUAAACUGCUUUUGUACGGGAAAAAACCCCUUGUUUCUACGAGGGUUGAUGGUACCGUAAGAAUAAGGAUCGGCUAACUCCGUGCCAGCAGCCGCGGUAAUACGGAGGAUCCAAGCGUUAUCCGGAUUCACUGGGUUUAAAGGGUGCGUAGGCGGAAUGACAAGUCAGUGGUGAAAACCUAUAGCUUAACUAUAGAACUGCCAUUGAUACUGUUAUUCUUGAGUGUAUUGGAUGUGAAUGGAAUGUGUCGUGUAGCGGUGAAAUGCUUAGAUAUGACACAGAACACCCAUUGCGAAGGCAGUUCACAACACUACAACUGACGCUGAGGCACGAAAGCGUGGGGAUCAAACAGGAUUAGAUACCCUGGUAGUCCACGCCGUAAACGUUGAUUACUAGAUGUGUGCGCAUUAGCGUACGUGUCAAAGCGAAAGCGUUAAGUAAUCCACCUGGGGAGUACGACCGCAAGGUUG
rnacentral:rRNA from 1 species